AUUCCCUCCUUCAGCCUACACUCUGAGGUCUUUACCUACUGCCCUACUCACUCACUCGUGGUUCGGGCAUCGAGCGGGUCAUAGUACCGCGCGGCAACUUAAUUCUUGACACGAAUGCGGAAUAAAAAAAUUACUACAUACAAAAACUAAAAAUUAAUAAUAAUUAUAAACUGACCAAAAAAAAAUCUAGGAAAAGUGCUAUGCCGUCUUAAACGAGGAUUGCAAAAAUCAACAUGCAGUUGGAGAAAAAGGAAAAAAAAGUGAUAUCGCUAAAACUAAAAUUCUGAGUAACAGCAAACAAAACGCAUAUGAAUCAGUGAUCACUUACAUGUUACUCAGAUGUGAUACUACAAAAAUUUUAUGCUAAGUGCAGAUUUCCCUAAAAACUAAAUACCUGGCAUAUACAUAUAUGUAUUUUUACUUAUAAAACUGAAAAAAAAAACGGAAUUUAAAAAGCAAAGGAAUACAGCUGUGAAAAAGGUAACUACAACUUUAAGUACAAAUUUAAGAGAACUCAAGAAACCUAUGCAAAUGACCA